rnacentral:rRNA from 1 species
AGUGAACGCUGGCGGUAGGCCUAACACAUGCAAGUCGAACGGCAGCACAGUAAGAGCUUGCUCUUACGGGUGGCGAGUGGCGGACGGGUGAGGAAUACAUCGGAAUCUACUUUUUCGUGGGGGAUAACGUAGGGAAACUUACGCUAAUACCGCAUACGACCUACGGGUGAAAGCAGGGGAUCUUCGGACCUUGCGCGAUUGAAUGAGCCGAUGUCGGAUUAGCUAGUUGGCGGGGUAAAGGCCCACCAAGGCGACGAUCCGUAGCUGGUCUGAGAGGAUGAUCAGCCACACUGGAAGUGAGACACGGUCCAGACUCCGACGGGAGGCAGCAGUGGGGAAUAUUGGACGAUGGGCGCAAGCCUGAUCCAGCCAUACCGCGUGGGUGAAGAAGGCCUUCGGGUUGUAAAGCCCUUUUGUUGGGAAAGAAAAGCAGCAGGUUAAUACCCCGCUGUUCUGACGGUACCCAAAGAAUAAGCACCGGCUAACUUCGUG